rnacentral:lncRNA from 1 species
AACCAAGGGCCCAGUGCCCUUAGGAUCCUGGAUGGAGAAUUAAUUCCAAUAUUGGUGGGAUCUCCAUAUCUUGUCCAGUGAGGCCUGAGCCUGACCUUAACCUGUACCUUCAGGUGAAAAUAUUUUUAAGGCAAAAAGAAUCAAGAAAUUACAUUUUUAAAAGAUAAUUUAAUAUAAUAAUUUAUUUUUCCCUUAAAAGCUGUUUCUUAAUCACUAUCCAUGAAAAAUAUGGACCAGGAUAUACCAAAAGAAAUACUGAUGAUAGCUUGGUGGCAAGUUUGGCCCAGGAUUCAGAUACCUGGGUUCAAUCUUCUAAGAACAACUCAAACAGAGAAGUGACAACAUUUGACAAGGCACUUGUUGAAAGUGCCUUCAAGUACCACUCUGCAAUCUGUAAAACAUCUUUAAGGGAUAUUUCAUCGAAGUAUUUGGAGUGAAAGUUAAUGACCUAUUCUCUUGCAAAUGUGGAAAUUGAGAUUAAAAUCAGCUGUGGAGGCCAAGUCCAGUUUUUUUGGUCUAUAUAAUUAAUAUAUUUAAUUAAAGAAAAGAGUACCUAUUUUCUUAAAGGUAAUUGAUUUGAUUGUUUGUUAUCUUGUGCAUUGAAUGUCUGUUGCCAAGAAUGAGGCAGAGCCAAAUAAGGAAUCUAGUUGUUUAUAUAUAUGGUGUUAAAAUUGUAAAAUAAAUGUAUGUGUGUAAAUGCA